rnacentral:lncRNA from 1 species
GCAUUUUAUUCAUUUGCUUUUGGGGACCUUUGACCCAAGCACUGUGUCCCAUCUGGUUUCCUAAAGUCAGGGGAGAACCAAAGAGCAGUGAAAAGAGUGUACAUCAUGAUCUCACCCUGAUGGUGUUUCUUUUCUCUACACUCAGGUCGUCGCAAGAGCGAUGCAAUAUGGUAGGUAUCUUGGAAUCACUCUCCUGCUGAUGAAAAUAUCUAUACGGUCAGGAACCUGAGGCAUUCCUGCUGGCAUCAGUCUGGAGAGCUACCCUGACUCUAGGUUCCUUGUAGGACUGAGGCUUUAGGGUGUGGAGAAAAGACAGAUUUCCCAGGGGAAAACUUAUGUCCAAGUUUACAGUGUGAGGAAGACAAUGUAUUCAGUGGUGUGUGUGUGUGUGUGUACGUACGCAGGUGUGUGUUUGAGAGAGGCAGAACCUGAGGGACAGAGAAAGAGACAGGGAAACUUACAAGAGAAUGAGACACAUCAUUCCUGAGAGAGAGAGAGAGAGAGAGAGAGAGAGAGAGAGAGAGAGAGAGAGAGAGAGAUGUGAGUUUUUCCCAGGUGAUAUGUGCCACUGACACUGCACAAUGGCCAAUGUUUACUAUUUAAAAAAAACUCUUCAUACUGCACACUUCAAGGAUUAUUGCUGAGGGUGGCUAAGUCCCAUUGAGUCCAUGCAGGUAACCAAAGCCUCCAUACUCUCUGGACCAUGUUCAUAUCAAGGAACAGUCCCUGAAGUAUUCCUGUGCAAUGCCAACAAUGUAGUCAGGUGUUUCCCUGUCUUUCUAGGUGUCUCAAAGGAGGAAAACCUGCGGUCUGUUGCAGUAAGGAGGCAAAAGACUGUUGCAGAGGUGGCCUUAGGAGCACGAGAAGAAGGUACGUAUUCUGGAAACAGUUUCUUGCUGAGGAAAACGUUUAGAUGUUGAUGUAGGUGGGGCAUUCUUGUUGUGUUCAAUCUGGAGAGCCACCCUGAUUCCAGAGACUUGGGACGUCUUAGGCCAAGUGUGGGGGGGUGUGACCGAAGUCCUAGGUGAAAAACUAUGUCCAUGU